UAGGGAAUAUUGGACAAUGGGCGAAAGCCUGAUCCAGCAAUGCCGCGUGAGUGAUGAAGGCCUUAGGGUUGUAAAGCUCUUUUACCCGAGAUGAUAAUGACAGUAUCGGGAGAAUAAGCUCCGGCUAACUCCGUGCCAGCAGCCGCGGUAAUACGGAGGGAGCUAGCGUUGUUCGGAAUUACUGGGCGUAAAGCGCACGUAGGCGGCGAUCUAAGUCAGAGGUGAAAGCCUGGAGCUCAACUCCAGAACU
rnacentral:rRNA from 1 species